GAUGAACGCUGACAGAAUGCUUAACACAUGCAAGUCAACUUGAACUUCGGUUUGGGUGGCGGACGGGUGAGUAACGCGUAAAGAACUUGCCUCACAGAUAGGGACAACAUUUGGAAACGAAUGCUAAUACCUGAUAUUAUGAUUUUAGGGCAUCCUAGGAUUAUGAAAGCUAUAUGCGCUGUGAGAGAGCUUUGCGUCCCAUUAGCUAGUUGGAGAGGUAACGGCUCACCAAGGCGAUGAUGGGUAGCCGGCCUGAGAGGGUGAUCGGCCACAAGGGGACUGAGACACGGCCCUUACUCCUACGGGAGGCAGCAGUGGGGAAUAUUGGACAAUGGACCAAGAGUCUGAUCCAGCAAUUCUGUGUGCACGAUGAAGUUUUUCGGAAUGUAAAGUGCUUUCAGUUGGGAAGAAAAAAUGACGGUACCAACAGAAGAAGUGACGGCUAAAUACGUGCCAGCAGCCGCGGUAAUACGUAUGUCACAAGCGUUAUCCGGAUUUAUUGGGCGUAAAGCGCGUCUAGGUGGUUAUGUAAGUCUGAUGUGAAAAUGCAGGGCUCAACUCUGUAUUGCGUUGGAAACUGUGUAACUAGAGUACUGGAGAGGUAAGCGGAACUACAAGUGUAGAGGUGAAAUUCGUAGAUAUUUGUAGGAAUGCCGAUGGGGAAGCCAGCUUACUGGACAGAUACUGACGCUGAAGCGCGAAAGCGUGGGUAGCAAACAGG
rnacentral:rRNA from 1 species